AGAGUUUGAUCAUGGCUCAGAUUGAACGCUGGCGGCAUGCCUUACACAUGCAAGUCGAACGGCAGCGCGGGCUUCGGCCUGGCGGCGAGUGGCGAACGGGUGAGUAAUACAUCGGAACGUGCCCUGUUGUGGGGGAUAACUAGUCGAAAGAUUAGCUAAUACCGCAUACGACCUGAGGGUGAAAGCGGGGGACCGUAAGGCCUCGCGCAAUAGGAGCGGCCGAUGUCUGAUUAGCUAGUUGGUGGGGUAAAGGCCUACCAAGGCGACGAUCAGUAGCUGGUCUGAGAGGACGAUCAGCCACACUGGGACUGAGACACGGCCCAGACUCCUACGGGAGGCAGCAGUGGGGAAUUUUGGACAAUGGGGGCAACCCUGAUCCAGCAAUGCCGCGUGUGUGAAGAAGGCCUUCGGGUUGUAAAGCACUUUUGUCCGGAAAGAAAUCGCGCUGGCUAAUACCUGGCGUGGAUGACGGUACCGGAAGAAUAAGCACCGGCUAACUACGUGCCAGCAGCCGCGGUAAUAC
rnacentral:rRNA from 1 species